rnacentral:rRNA from 1 species
UCGAGAAUAAUUCGCAAUGGACGAAAGUCUGACGAUGCGACGCCGCAUGAACGAUGAAGGCCUUCGGGUUGUAACGUUCUGUUGCCCUAGAACAAGAGUGACUGACGAAUAGGUGGUCACGAUGAGGGUAUAGGGAGAGGAAGCACCGGCUAAUUCCGUGCCAGCAGCUGCGGUAAUACGGAAGGUGCAAGCGUUAGUCGGAAUUACUGGGCGUACAGGGUGCGUAGGCGGGAAUGUAAGUCGGUUUGGAAAU